rnacentral:rRNA from 1 species
CCUGGUGAUUAUUGCGAAAGGGUAAUACCCGAUCCCAUUCCGAACUCGGAAGUCAAGCCUUUCUGCGCCAAUGGUA